rnacentral:rRNA from 1 species
UUUUGGGCAAUGGGCGGAAGCCUGACCCAGCAACGCCGCGUGGGUGAUGAAGGCCCUCGGGUCGUAAAGCCCUUUUCCCAGGGAAGAUGGUGACGGUACCUGGGGAAUCAGCCCCGGCUAACUACGUGCCAGCAGCCGCGGUAAUACGUAGGGGGCAAGCGUUGUCCGGAUUUAUUGGGCGUAAAGCGCUCGCAGGUGGCCCGUCGCGUCGUGCGUGAAAGACCCCGGCUCAACUGGGGAGGGUCGUGCGAUACGGGCGGGCUGGAGGCCAGUAGGGGGAUGCGGAAUUCCGGGUGUAGUGGUGGAAUGCGUAGAGAUCCGGAGGAACACCAGCGGCGAAGGCGGCAUCCUGGACUGGUCCUGACACUCAUGAGCGAAAGCGUGGGGAGCGAUCCGG